CGGGGUGCAGCAGGCGCGAAACCUCCGCAAUGUGAGAAAUCGCGACGGGGGGAUCCCAAGUGCCAUUCUUAACGGGAUGGCUUUUCUUUAGUGUAAAAAGCUUUUGGAAUAAGAGCUGGGCAAGACCGGUGCCAGCCGCCGCGGUAAUACAAGGGC
rnacentral:rRNA from 1 species